rnacentral:rRNA from 1 species
AUUGAACGCUGGCGGCAUGCCUUACACAUGCAAGUCGAACGGCAGCACGGGGGCAACCCUGGUGGCGAGUGGCGAACGGGUGAGUAAUGCAUCGGAACGUGCCCAGUAGUGGGGGAUAACCAGUCGAAAGACUGGCUAAUAACACAUACGACCUAAGGGUGAAAGCGGGGGACCGUAAGGCCUCGCGCUAUUGGAGCGGCCGAUGUCUGAUUAGCUAGUUGGCGGGGUAAGAGCCCACCAAGGCGACGAUCAGUAGCUGGUCUGAGAGGACGACCAGCCACACUGGGACUGAGAAACGGCCCAGACUCCUACGGGAGGCAGCAGUGGGGAAGUUUGGACAAGGGGGGCAAGCCUGAUCCAGCCAUGCCGCGUGCGGGAAGAAGGCCUUCGGGUUGUAAACCGCUUUUGGCAGGAACGAAACGGCGCAGGCCAAUACCUUGCGCUAAUGACGGUACCUGCAGAAUAAGCACCGGCUAACUACGUGCCAGCCGCCGCAGUAAGAC